rnacentral:rRNA from 1 species
GACGAACGCUGGCGGCGUGCUUAACACAUGCAAGUCGAACGGAAAGGCCCUGCUUUUGUGGGGUGCUCGAGUGGUGAACGGGUGAGUAACACGUGAGUAACCUGCCCUUGACUUUGGGAUAACUUCAGGAAACUGGGGCUAAUACCGGAUAGGAGCUCCUGCUGCAUGGUGGGGGUUGGAAAGUUUCGGCGGUUGGGGAUGGACUCGCGGCUUAUCAGCUUGUUGGUGGGGUAGUGGCUUACCAAGGCUUUGACGGGUAGCCGGCCUGGGAGGGUGACCGGCCACAUUGGGACUGAGAUACGGCCCAGACUCCUACGGGAGGCAGCAGUGGGGUAUAUUGCACAAUGGGCGGAAGCCUGAUGCAGCAACGCCGCGUGCGGGAUGACGGCCUUCGGGUUGUAAACCGCUUUCGCCUGUGACGAAGCGUGAGUGACGGUAAUGGGUAAAGAAGCACCGGCUAACUACGUG